rnacentral:rRNA from 1 species
UACGUAGGGGCCGAGCGUUGUCCGGAGUUACUGGGCGUAAAGCGCGCGCAGGCGGCUCGUCAAGCCUGACGUGAAAGCCCCCGGCUCAACCGGGGAGGGUCGUCGGGGACUGGCGGGCUUGAGGUCGGCAGGGGUUGGUGGAAUUCCCGGUGUAGUGGUGAAAUGCGUAGAGAUCGGGAGGAACACCCGUGGCGAAGGCGGCCAACUGGGCCGGACCUGACGCUGAGGCGCGAAGGCGUGGGGAGCGAACGGGAUUAGAUACCCCGGUAGUCCACGCAGUAAACGAUGCAGACUAGGCGUGGGGGGACUUGACCCCCUCCGUGCCGCAGCUAACGCGUGAAGUCUGCCGCCUGGGGAGUACGGCCGCAAGGCUAAA